ACAUGCAAGUCGAGGGGCAGCAUGUUGGUUGCUUGCAACCAACGAUGGCGACCGGCGCACGGGUGAGUAACGCGUAUCCAACCUACCCUUGUCCAUCGGAUAACCCGUCGAAAGGCGGCCUAACACGAUAUGCGGUUCACAGCAGGCAUCUAACGUGAACGAAAUGUAAAGGAGAAGGAUGGGGAUGCGUCUGAUUAGCUUGUUGGCGGGGUAACGGCCCACCAAGGCUACGAUCAGUAGGGGUUCUGAGAGGAAGGUCCCCCACAUUGGAACUGAGACACGGUCCAAACUCCUACGGGAGGCAGCAGUGAGGAAUAUUGGUCAAUGGACGAGAGUCUGAACCAGCCAAGUAGCGUGCAGGAUGACGGCCCUAUGGGUUGUAAACUGCUUUUAUAGGGGGAUAAAGUGUGCCACGUGUGGCAUAUUGCAGGUACCCUAUGAAUAAGGACCGGCUAAUUCCGUGCCAGCAGCCGCGGUAAUACGGAAGGUCCGGGCGUUAUCCGGAUUUAUUGGGUUUAAAGGGAGCGUAGGCCGUUUGGUAA
rnacentral:rRNA from 1 species